UAGGGAAUCUUCCACAAUGGACGCAAGUCUGAUGGAGCAACGCCGCGUGAGUGAAGAAGGCUUUCGGGUCGUAAAACUCUGUUGUUGGAGAAGAAAGGUCGUGAGAGUAACUGUUGUCGGCGUGACGGUAUCCUACCAGAAAGCCACGGCUAACUACGUG
rnacentral:rRNA from 1 species